CCUACGGGUGGCAGCAGUCGAGAAUCAUUCACAAUGGGGGAAACCCUGAUGGUGCGACGCCGCGUGGGGGAAUGAAGGUCUUCGGAUUGUAAACCCCUGUCAUGUGGGAGCAAAUUCAAAAGAUAGUACCACAAGAGGAAGAGACGGCUAACUCUGUGCCAGCAGCCGCGGUAAUACAGAGGUCUCAAGCGUUGUUCGGAAUCACUGGGCGUAAAGCGUGCGUAGGCUGUUUCGUAAGUCGUGUGUGAAGGGCGCGGGCGCAACCCGCGGACGGCACAUGAUACUGCGAGACUAGAGUAAUGGAGGGGGAACCGGAAUUCUCGGUGUAGCAGGGAAAUGCGUAGAUAUCGAGAGGAACACUCGUGGCGAAGGCGGGUUCCUGGACAUUAACUGACGCUGAGGCACGAAGGCCAGGGGAGCGAAAGGGAUUAGAUACCCCAGUAGUC
rnacentral:rRNA from 1 species